AUAUAUCAAUAUAGAUUAUUCUCUGAGUGAUGGCGACAUAUGGUAAAAAGAGAGAGUAGUAUGAAUAUUUGCCGCAUCAUUUACUUCUUUUACUUAUAUCUUCAAGGUAUCUUAUUGACUUCUAUUAGUUUUAUUUGUGGAAAGAAUAUCUUGAGUGUGAGAAUUGAUCACAAUUGACAAGAUGUUUUACUAUUUAAAUGAGUUUAUCACAAAGAAUUUUUUACUCAUUCAUGUUCUGUUUCUGUAAUGUAGGUAGAAUAAUCCCAAUGUCGUGGUAGUAAUUCGCGAGACAUAUGCCAAUAUGGUUUCGCAGUUUUCAGUAAGUGUAUCAGCAAGAAUAUUUUACUGAAGCAUAUUUAAUUUCUUUAAUGUGGAUUCGCCACCGUAGUGGAUUCGGAGAGGAUAUUGGUGGAGUUUUGGUAUAAAAAAGUGUAAGUACAUGUUCGUUGGAAGGGCAACCGAAGAGUUCCGGAUCAUUUUACUAUCGCACAUGUUAUGGUAUUUACAAAAUCAUUGAAGUGUUUAUCUGGACCCCCUUGUUUUCUGUGGCCCCGUUUCCCCUUGACUUAUAUUAUUAUCUUUAACCCUUUAGUGCGUGUAAAACUAAAGGUUAAAAGAAGAAAAAUGAUUUAAAAAUUGUGGGAGAGAAUCAUCAAAGAAUUAUACUCGUUUAGGUAAUCCGAAAGUAUUAACUCGGCGCAGUCUUCGAUUCCAUCUUUUUAAAAGCUAUUUUUACUGUGCAUGGAAAUUUUUUGGUCGAGACGUAAUGGGUGUCCAGCCCAGAUAAGGCACUGAAGGUUUUUUUAGAUGUUAUAAUCUCCAAAAGGGGAACGCUGAAAAUCCCAGGUGGCGAUGGGAAUUAGUGGCAAUGUUACGGUGUAAAUAAUUUCAGAAAGGGUAACGCUAGCUGAUGUAAACCGCACCAGCUGUGCUAUUACCGAGUCUGUCUCACUUUUGCCGCUUAGCAGAAAAGGGUGAGAGUAGCAGAAGAAAAGGAAAUAGCAGUAAACCCGGUUUUGAAAGAAGCCAAAGAUUCCGAUGAUAUGGGAGCCCAGUCUGUGGAAACAGAAACCCUCUGUUUCAGAUAACAAAAGGAACACAUCGUUCCUCAGCUACUUCUGAGGACUACUGUCACCGAAAGAAAAUCACCUCGGUUAUAGACUCGGAAGGUGAAAGCGAGACCCAAAAAUUUGCAACAACGAAGCAAGUAAAAAGUCCUCUACUGUUACAGACCACAAUGUGUAAAUACGUCAUAUCCGGGAUAUUAAUACUGCAGUAACCAGAGCGGUAAAAAAAUUGGCACCAACUGGUACAUAUCUGAUUUUGCCGCAACGCAUUCAAGAAUGGGGCUUAACACCUUGCAGGGCUGAAGAAAAUUAUAAAAAAGAAUUAGAACAAAUUUGUUGGCAGCAAAACAAACCGCGGGAAGCUCAGGAAGAGCUGGAUCUUAAAAAAAAAAGUGCUCAAAAGGAACUAGAUAACCACAGCAAAGGCUAAUAAAUUUAUGGUUCACAUAAACUUUCACGACGAAGCAGUUAAAGUAGGCGAAAGCGAAUCGAGAGCGCUACUGUCCAGUGCGUCACUUGCGGCAUCGGUAUUGCGGCCAGUAAGGCAUCCGACACAUGGAGGGAUGUUUCAACAAAUAAAACAAACGGGGUUCGGUUCAAUCUUUUAAACCAAAAUAGAGUGCAGAAAUAAGUUACGCGGCGGUUACAAUCCCAGUAACCAAAUAUACUGGAGGCGACUUCGUGCUUUAAGUCCGGUGCAUUGCAAAAAUCCUAAUAAGGUCAGAAAACUGAGUAGGCUAUCGGUAUCCUGUAGUACGAGAAGUUUCCCGAUGGCGAUAGGGAUCCUGUCUGGGAACGCGACAGUGGCCCCCGAAGGUACCCCGACAACAUCCCCCUAAUGAACCUGUGCUUGGAACUGGAAGUGGCGUUUACCAGUGGCACCCAAUCUUAAUUCUUAAAACCCAGGAGUGUUCUUCACUUUUCAUGGGGAUUGAUUGAUGAUACUUGUUGAUUAAUCCAUGAAGAAUACCAAUUACAUGGUUAAGUGGAGGGUAAAAAAAGUAUAAAACUGUAACUCCUCAUGGCAUUUUCAUUCACGCAUACGUGGUAGUUCGUGAGCAGCCGAACCAUUGAAUAGCUGCAUCCAGCUGGAUACUAGUACAACCCAAAACAUUGUUUUGACAAGUUCUGUCAUAUUUCGGUUGUAGGUUUUCUCUAAAUACCAAGUAAGUAAGGGGUUUAAUCAUGUUCAAUGUAUGAUUUUUCGAUUUAAGUCU